rnacentral:rRNA from 2 species
UCGAGCGAACUGAUUAGAAGCUUGCUUCUAUGACGUUAGCGGCGGACGGGUGAGUAACACGUGGGCAACCUGCCUGUAAGACUGGGAUAACUUCGGGAAACCGAAGCUAAUACCGGAUAGGAUCUUCUCCUUCAUGGGAGAUGAUUGAAAGAUGGUUUCGGCUAUCACUUACAGAUGGGCCCGCGGUGCAUUAGCUAGUUGGUGAGGUAACGGCUCACCAAGGCAACGAUGCAUAGCCGACCUGAGAGGGUGAUCGGCCACACUGGGACUGAGACACGGCCCAGACUCCUACGGGAGGCAGCAGUAGGGAAUCUUCCGCAAUGGACGAAAGUCUGACGGAGCAACGCCGCGUGAGUGAUGAAGGCUUUCGGGUCGUAAAACUCUGUUGUUAGGGAAGAACAAGUACAAGAGUAACUGCUUGUACCUUGACGGUACCUAACCAGAAAGCCACGGCUAACUACGUGCCAGCAGCCGCGGUAAUACGUAGGUGGCAAGCGUUAUCCGGAAUUAUUGGGCGUAAAGCGCGCGCAGGCGGUUUCUUAAGUCUGAUGUGAAAGCCCACGGCUCAACCGUGGAGGGUCAUUGGAAACUGGGGAACUUGAGUGCAGAAGAGAAAAGCGGAAUUCCACGUGUAGCGGUGAAAUGCGUAGAGAUGUGGAGGAACACCAGUGGCGAAGGCGGCUUUUUGGUCUGUAACUGACGCUGAGGCGCGAAAGCGUGGGGAGCAAACAGGAUU